rnacentral:rRNA from 1 species
UCUUUUAGUUGAGUUAAAAGGUCUUACCUGCCCACUGUAAGUAUAAAGGGCUGCGGUAAUUUAACCGUGCGAAGGUAGCAUAAUAAUUAGUCUAUUAAUUAUAGACUUGAAUGAAUGGUGUGACGAAGAGUAAGCUUUUUCUGUAGUAAAAAUUGAAUUUUACUUUUAAGUGAAAAGGCUUAAAUGUUGUUAAGGGACGAUAAGACCCUAUAAAACUUAAUAUUAUUAACUCUUUUUUUUUAUAAAGUAAAGAGAUAAAUUAGUUUUAUUUUAUUUGGUUGGGGCGACAAAGAUAUAAAAGGUAGCUGUUACAGGUUAGAUUAAUAAGGUGAUUUGUUAUUAAAACCUUUAUUAAGGAUUAUAAUAAAGUUACUUUAGGGAUAACAGCGUAAUUUUUUCUGAGAGUUCUUAUCGAAGAAAGUAGUUGCGACCUCGAUGUUGAAUUAAAGUUUUUAGUAAGCGCAGCGGCUUAAAUAAUAGGUCUGUUCGACCUUAAAAAUUUUACAUGAUUUGAGUUAAGACCGGUGUGAG